rnacentral:rRNA from 1 species
CUCUGUGGGAUCAGUGGCGAACGGGUGAGUAACACGUGAGCAACCUACCCCUGACUCUGGGAUAAGCGCUGGAAACGGCGUCUAAUACUGGAUACGAGUGGCGACCGCAUGGUCAGCUACUGGAAAGAUUUAUUGGUUGGGGAUGGGCUCGCGGCCUAUCAGCUUGUUGGUGAGGUAAUGGCUCACCAAGGCGUCGACGGGUAGCCGGCCUGAGAGGGUGACCGGCCACACUGGGACUGAGACACGGCCCAGACUCCUACGGGAGGCAGCAGUGGGGAAUAUUGCACAAUGGGCGCAAGCCUGAUGCAGCAACGCCGCGUGAGGGAUGACGGCCUUCGGGUUGUAAACCUCUUUUAGCAGGGAAGAAGCGAAAGUGACGGUACCUGCAGAAAAAGCGCCGGCUAACUACGUGCCAGCAGCCGCGGUAAUACGUAGGGCGCAAGCGUUAUCCGGAAUUAUUGGGCGUAAAGAGCUCGUAGGCGGUUUGUCGCGUCUGCUGUGAAAUCCGGAGGCUCAACCUCCGGCCUGCAGUGGGUACGGGCAGACUAGAGUGCGGUAGGGGAGAUUGGAAUUCCUGGUGUAGCGGUGGAAUGCGCAGAUAUCAGGAGGAACACCGAUGGCGAAGGCAGAUCUCUGGGCCGUAACUGACGC